GAGGGUGUAGCUCAGUGGUACAGUGCUUGUCUACCAUGUGUGAGGCCCUGGGUUCAAUCCCCAGUACUUCA
rnacentral:tRNA from 1 species